GCUUUGGUGGUUCAGUGGUAGAAUUCUCGCCUGCCACGUGGGAGGCUUAGGUUCGUUUCCCAGCCUAUGCA
rfam:Salmo salar isolate Sally breed double haploid chromosome ssa01, whole genome shotgun sequence.